CAGUAAGGACUAACGUAAACUGACUGACUGUCUGUCUGUCUGUUCUCAACCAAAGUCAUUCAAGACCUGUUAAAGUAAGGACUAAGGUUAACUGAAUGUCUGUCUGUUCUCAACCAAUGUCAUUAAAGACCUGUUGAAGUUUAGCACAAAGUUUCCAGCACAAGUUUGGAUCUUUACCAUUGAGAGUGGCUUACUGUUCUCGACCAACCAUCAUUCACACGCAAAAACUUUAAAGAUAAGUAUGAACGUGCCCAGAGCAGUUUUCGAUCUUUACCAUUAAGGAGGCUGACUGACUAUCCUCUACCACCCGUCAUUAACACAACAAAAACUAAAGAAAUGUUACUCCAUAUGGACCUAUUCAUUUACUCAUUAUGCUGUGAGUACACCACAGUUUUAUCAGUGAAAAAUGUAUAUUUGUGUGUUUUCUCACUGCUUGGCAAGGA